AUACAUUCAACCAACACACACAUAUAUGUAGGCAAAAUAUGGAGGUAGAGUUUACUACCUACAUUUUUAUAGAGAAUUCUACCAUUGUCUUCACAAUUCUAUUCUCUAGAUUUUUCAUGAAUGGUAGUGGUCUUUAUUUCCUACAAGUAAUGAGUCUCUAGAAUAUUCUACAUGCUUAGUCUAGUAAAUUCUAGAUAUUUAAAGUUGGUGAUGAUUUCUUUAAUUCUCCCCUUCAGCACCAACUUUUCAUUUUAACCUUUUUCUUCUUCUUCUCGUCUAACUUUGCCUUGACGAAUUUUGAAGUGCUCGUUUCUUCACUUAAUGCAUUUGUUGCUUCAAAUAUAUUUUGCUCUUCUAGGCUUUUCUCAAUUUCUUCUUGUAGUUGUUGAUCAUUCACUUGUAUUUCCCAAUUAACACCAUUUUGUGAAUAACUAUGUAUCACACUAAUCAACUCUUCUUUAUCACUUGAUAUCUUUAGAUCUUCGGAUUCCUCGGGACUUCGUUGUGCUUCCACAAUUUUCUCUAACAAUUUGUC
rnacentral:lncRNA from 1 species